AGGUCCCACAAUCGGAAGCGUGCUAAUGACAACCAGUCUCCGCGAAGUAAUACCUAACGGUGGUCCUGCGGGGGAGAGUGGUAGAAGAAGCGUUUGGGGGGUAGUUUUUAGUAUAUAAGCGCCAUGGAUGGUGAAUCGUGCAUGCUUGUACUAAGAACCAGCAGUAUCUUUUGAAGAUUUUCUACUUCUUGCUAAC
rfam:Glossina morsitans morsitans, isolate Yale, WGS project CCAG01000000 data, contig: ctg10010604